CCGAGACGGCCGUGCCAAUAAACGCGCGCUGCAUCCGCGAGCACUGAAGGCGCCCGUGCUUCCGAUCGGGGGGUUGGUGAUCGGACUCACACGACCGUCCGAGGGGUCACGGGCGCCUUUGUGUAGCCGCUCCCGUACCGCGCUACGCGGAGGGAGAGGAGAAAGAGGAUGGGGCCGAGUCGUUUUUCAUAACAAGAUAUGUAGGCAGCACAGGCAAAGCUCGCGGCAUCAAUCGCGUGAUUGGGCCAUAGAAUGAUAUGGAGCAGUAAAGGCGGUGGGGUGCACAAGGCCCGCAGCCCGACGUUACAUGCAAGCAUCAUGCAUCUUAUGUGCCGACACGGUCAUUCCGCCGUACAUCGCGCCAAUCGCCCGCAUUCCACCUCGAAAGAUUGUGUCAUGGGGUCAACUAGAACGGUCAACAGCAGAACUCCGC
rnacentral:misc_RNA from 1 species